rnacentral:rRNA from 1 species
AUAUCAAUAAGCGGAGGAAAAGAAACCAACUGGGAUUGCCCUAGUAACGGCGAGUGAAGCGGCAAUAGCUCAAAUUUGAAAUCUGGCUCCUUUUAGGGGUCCGAGUUGUAAUUUGCAGAGGGUGCUUUGGCGUUGGUAGCGGUCUAAGUUCCUUGGAACAGGACAUCGCAGAGGGUGAGAAUCCCGUUUGUGGUCGCAUGCCUUCGCCGUGUAAAGCCCCUUCGACGAGUCGAGUUGUUUGGGAAUGCAGCUCUAAAUGGGAGGUAAAUUUCUUCUAAAGCUAAAUACUGGCCAGAGACCGAUAGCGCACAAGUAGAGUGAUCGAAAGAUGAAAAGCACUUUGGAAAGAGAGUCAAACAGCACGUGAAAUUGUUGAAAGGGAAGCGCUUGCAGUCAGACUUGCCCGUAGUUGCUCACCUAGGCUUUUGCCUGGGGCAUUCUUCUGCGGGCAGGCCAGCAUCAGUUUGGGCGGUCGGAUAAAGGUCUCUGUCAUGUAGCUUCCUUCGGGAAGAACUUAUAGGGGAGGCGAAAUGCGACCAGCCCGGACUGAGGUCCGCGCUUCUGCUAGGAUGCUGGCGUAAUGGCUGUAAGCGGCCC